rnacentral:rRNA from 2 species
CUACACAUGCAGUCGAACGAUGAAGCCCAGCUUGCUGGGUGGAUUAGUGGCGAACGGGUGAGUAACACGUGAGUAACCUGCCCUUGACUCUGGGAUAAGCGCUGGAAACGGCGUCUAAUACCGGAUACGACCUGCCCCGGCAUCGGGUGUGGGUGGAAAGUUUUUCGGUCAAGGAUGGACUCGCGGCCUAUCAGCUUGUUGGUGAGGUAAUGGCUCACCAAGGCGACGACGGGUAGCCGGCCUGAGAGGGUGACCGGCCACACUGGGACUGAGACACGGCCCAGACUCCUACGGGAGGCAGCAGUGGGGAAUAUUGCACAAUGGGCGAAAGCCUGAUGCAGCAACGCCGCGUGGGGGAUGACGGCCUUCGGGUUGUAAACCUCUUUUAGUAGGGAAGAAGGACUUCGGUUUGACGGUACCUGCAGAAAAAGCACCGGCUAACUACGUGCCAGCAGCCGCGGUAAUACGUAGGGUGCAAGCGUUGUCCGGAAUUAUUGGGCGUAAAGAGCUCGUAGGCGGUUUGUCGCGUCUGCUGUGAAAACCCGAGGCUCAACCUCGGGCCUGCAGUGGGUACGGGCAGACUAGAGUGCGGUAGGGGAGAAUGGAAUUCCUGGUGUAGCGGUGGAAUGCGCAGAUAUCAGGAGGAACACCGAUGGCGAAGGCAGUUCUCUGGGCCGUAACUGACGCUGAGGAGCGAAAGCAUGGGGAGCGAACAGGAUUAGAUACCCUGGUAGUCCAUGCCGU